ACCUUUCUGCCUUUCUCUUGUCUGUCUGCUGAAAAGGAGAGGGGCUAAUCGGAGAGGGGGAUCUGUCAAAGAGGAGGCGGAGGGAGGGAGGCCAGCAACUUGUGCAGGGUUGUUCCACAAAAGAGGGCAGGACCAGAGCCUGUGGGGCAAACUAAAGGAAGGCGGUACAAGCUCCCUGCUAGGAGGAGCUGCUGGGUGCUGCGCAGAGCUGAACCUGACGUGGAACCUGACCACACAAAGUUCCUAGAUGGAUAAGACAAUAAAUUCCCCAGAUUUGAAAAUCAUACUUUUGUUGUCGCAACUUAAUAUUGCAUGGUUGCACUGAAGUUCAGCUUGGAGUCAGGUUUCUCUUCUAAAGACUUUUUCACAAGUGCCAGGCAUCCCCCAUCCUAAACCUAAAAAUUUGUUUUUUCUUUCCUAAAUGAUGAACUUUGUUAAACUUCAUUGUUAUUUUCAGCCCAAUUGCUUAACUUAUCAACAACAAUUUGAAUUAUAUUUUUCUCUUCCACUCAGUUCUGUCUCAUACACGCUAUUUAAUAAGCAUGCCUUCACCCAGAUACUAAAGAGUAGAAGAGGUGGGAUUGAGCACCCUUGUUGUCAAUCAAAGGUAAUUAAGAAACAAGAAGAGCCUGGGAAGACUUGUUCUGACUUUUGGUAAUUAUUUUCCUCCUGUCCACUGGCACUUCCCAGCCCUGCAGGAUUUCUGAAAGGCCAGCACAGUGUUGCGCCUCGUCUGCAGCCAAAUCAUUUGGGACCCAAGGAUGCCCUUCCGGUGGCCCUGGAGGCUUGCAUUUCAGCAGAGGAAAGGCUGCCUUUGGCCCACCGGCAUGGUUGCCCAUGGAAAGAGGGCCUGAGCUGAACCAGGCGCAGCUGAGUCGUUCUGCUCUUUCUUGGCCACCCUAUUUGGCUUUUCUUUAGUGUGAGCAUUUGCAAAACUAUUUUUUUAUUCCUGGAGCCCCCUACCAACCACGGCUUGUUCAUGGCUCCUCGGCAUUGUGGGGCAUUUGUCCAGAGCCUUUUCCCCCCCAGCUCCUUGUCCCCUUGGCUGCAGGGGCAGAGCUGGUCACUUGUGCUAGAAGUGGAGGCAGCUUCCUCCUUCAGCGCUACCUUUUUCUUCAUGAACCCUCGGCAAUGACUUGUCUUGCUUGCUCUAAGGAGGCUUCCUUCAUUCCUUUUGUGCAACAGCCUGGCCAAAUGUCAGCCUGUCUUCUGGCAACAUCUUCACUUUCCAGCUGUCAUUCAUGCAUGUGUUUAUUUAGACUGUUCUCCCUUCAUGGCUGUUUGGCCACCUCCAUUGUCCUCAGGGAGCAAACAUGUCCUGGCAGCCAUUUAUUCCUCUUCAGGUUUCUAUACAAGUCCAAAGGGCUUCAAUGGAAGAGAGGCUGUGGAUUGGGAAGAUGGUUUGCAGAAAUAUUUUCAAAUAUUAUUAUUAAAAUCCAGGAGCAACAGUGAGCCCAGCAAGGUAGCAUCUCUCCUGUUGUUUGGCACAGGAGCACCUAGUUGCUAGAAAUUCCUCCCAGUGGGAGAUCCUUCUGAACAUAAAUGAUGAAUAGAAGAGGAACUCGCCAGAUUUGCAGAUGACACUAAGCUGGCAGGAAUAGCCAACACCCCAGAAGACAAGCUCAGGAUCCAAAAAGAUCUUGACAGACUUGAACAAUGGGCCCUAUCCAACAACAUGAAAUUUAAUGUGGGGGAAAAGCAAGGUCUUACAUCCGGGCAGGAAAAAACAAAGAUACAGAUUAGGCGAAACCUGGCUCAAAAACAGUAACUGUGUGAGAGGGACCUUGGAAUCCUAGUGGAUGAUCACUUAAACAUGAGCCAGCACUGUGUGGCAGCAGCCAAAAAAGCUAAUACAAUCCUUGGUUGUAUAAACAGAGGCAUAGAAUUAAAAUCAUGUAAAAUAUUAGUACUGCUUUAUAAGUCCUUAGUAAGGCCACACCUGGAAUCCUGCAUCCACAUUUGGUCACCACAUUACAAAAAAGAGGUUGAGACUUUGGAAAAAGUGCAAAGAAGAGCAACUAAAAUGAUUAAGGACCUGGAGAUAAAAAUAUGAAAGGUUGCAGAAAGUGAGUAAGGCUAAUCUAGAGAAAAGAAGGACUAGGGGGAACAUGAUAGCAGUAUUCCAAUAUUUGAGGGGCUGCCACAAAGUGGAGGGGAUCAACUUAUUCUCCAAAGCACCAGAGAGCAGGGCAAGAAACAAUGGAAGCUAACCAAGGAGAGAAGCAACCUGGAAUUAAGGAGAAACUUCCUAACAGUGAGGACAAUUAACCAGUGGAACAGCUGGCCUUCAGAAAUCAUGGGUACGUCAUCACUGGAGGUUUUUAAGAAGAAAUUGGACAGCCAUCUAUCUGAAAUAGUAUAGGGUUUCCUGCUUGAGCAGGGGGUUGGACUACAAGACCGCCAGCUCUAUUUUGAUUGAUUGAUUUUUGACUGUCCAAACUUGCUUCGCAGUGCCUAAGCCUUUGGCAGCAGCUUUCUUUUGGGGUUCUUCAGUCUCUCUGAGGGUCUCCUUGGCCUUUCUUCAGCAAGUCAGUGGUUUUCCACCUGAUCUAGCAAGUGGGUCAACAGUAUAUUUGGGGUCGGAGCUGUUUGAUGGAAACAGGUCCUCCCAUGAACUGGUUUUUUUAAAAAAUUUAUUUAUUCAUUCAUUUAUUAUUUGAUUUGUAUGCCGCCCUUCUCCGGAGACUCAGGGCGGCUUACAAUGCGCUAAGCAAUAGCCUUCAUCCUUUUGUAUAUUUAUACAAAGUCAAUUUAUUGCCCCCACAAACUGGGUCCUCAUUUAACCUACCUUAGAAAGGAUGGAAGGCUGAGUCAACCUUGAGCCUUGGCGAGAUUCGAACCCUGCAGUAAUUGCAGGCAGCUGGUCUUAAUAACCAGCUUAAUAACAGGGUGCCUUAGACCACUGUACUACCAAGGCUCUGUUUUCCUUUGAGAAUGCAGGAACUUUACAUGUGUCUGUAGCAAGUUCCUCUUUGUCCUUAUUCUAAGAAGAGUUUUCCAAAUCUUGCUGGCUUCUGGCUUCCGAAUGACCCCAGAAGAGCCAGCAGAUCCCUUUCCCCAGACAGGCCAGGCUGUUUAGUGAUGGCUGUUGGUGCAGGCUGCAAAGGCAGAGUGGAAUGCUGCUGUCUGUGUGGAGGUCGCCACCAUUGAGUGGGUCUCCUGGUUCAGGGCCAGAACAUCGAUCACAGUCACAAGUGGGCUUAGGGUAGAACCAGAAGGGGAGCUGCCUUUUUCUUGAAUUUAUCAGCUGAAUUAGGCUGAGUGGCCUGCUGCCUCCCUCCUCUGGACAUUAGCCCAGGACUGCCCUGCUCCCGCUGGCCUGGCUGCCAGAGAAUGUUCCGGCUGACUAUCAGAAGUGUCCAUUGGGGCAGUCCCAGCCUGAGGGAGACGGAGAGCCCGAGGCUGCUCUUGAGGCAGGGAGGCCACCUCAUCUUCGUGGCCAUUGGACUGCAGCUCGUCUUCCCUGCCCAAGGCCUCUGGAGGAGGAAGUGGCAGGCUGGAGGGUGCCUGGGGCCCUGAUGGAGGGGGGCUCUAGAACUGAGGGAGCCAGCCUUCCCUGCUCCUGCAGCUCUGGAGUGGCAAGUGGGAGCCCCAAGUGGCUACCUGGAUGCCCCCCUCCCUCCACCCCUACUGUUGUUGCUGCAGCAGCUCCUGGAAGAAAAGCCUGUCCUGCUCUUUACAGAGAGGCCAUGCGGCUGCAGAAGGCUUGCUCUCCAUAUGGCUGCCUGCUGGCUUGGAUAAGCAAGAACUUCUUGCCCCUGGGCUAUGGGGGCUAUGGGGGCUUCCAAGCUGCAAAACACCAACAACUCAAAAUGUGCAUCCCAACUUUUGUAAGAAACUGAAAUGGCAUUUUUCAUCCUGCACUACGUAUUUCUUAGAUUUGUAUCCCGCCUUCCCUUCAGGUGCUGAAGGCAGCUUAAAUCCCUCCACAGCUUUAGUUUCUCAGAUCACCCAGAGCCCCCCUCUUCUUGCCAGUCAAUCCCAGGGGUCUGCACAACGGGCCUCUGCCACUCGACAAGCAGCCUGGCUUCUUCAGGCGUCGGGCAAGCAUCUGGCAUCUGGGCACAGGUUCCCCUCCUGCCUGUGCCACCAUAUGGCAGGGGCAGGCCUGUGCCAGCUGCCAAAGUUCUUGGAGAAGACCCUCCUGCUUGAUUCCCCUCCUCUUUGGAGAAUGACCUCUGGCUACCAAUUUGCCUUGGUGCACUGUUUUUCAAGGGCAAACAGGGCAGGGAAUGAUGGGGGAGCCAGUCCCUUCUCCUCCCACAGUCCUGGGAAACCCUUGGCAAUGCUCACUUUGGGGGCCAAGCUACCUUCCUUGCUUCUCUCUUGUGGCCCUUUCAGUGCCCUCCUUAGAGCAAGAGCCCCAUUCUGCCCUCAUCCAUCUCUGCCCUCCCAAAAUGUGAGGGGCAGAUUCCGGAGCCUAGCUAAUCUGCCCCACCUGUUAGCAUGGCACUGUGCCAGCCCCCUCUUUUGGGGACAGAUGCUUGCACUCGCUUUGGGCAUGUCACAGCCUUGGGCUUAGGGGGAAAGGAACAGUGGGGCUCCCAGGCAAGGUCUGGGCCGGGCUCGAAUGGACCAAACGAGGGAGGAGACCCCCUCUUGGAACAGGAGGAUAUGGUUCAGAUUUUGGUUGAGCACCUGCCAGAAGUAUAUUGAAAAGUUGCCACCACAGAGAGCAGCGCAAGGAAGUGCCACCUUGCAGCUCCAUGUCUGGCAGAUGCCACACGAGAGAAGAUGCUGCUGCACUGACUGGGCAUUACCUGUGUCACCCAGUGGUGGGCGCCACAGGCCAAGGGUGCAGGGAGAGCCUGGCCUGGCCAGGAGACCUCACUCUGUGGCAGCGCUGCAGAUGCGAUGCCCUCUCGUCAGCCCUGGGAAGCAGAGGGCCGCCUCAGAGGCGAGGCGCACCCAUGGGGAGGGGCAGCAGCUCUCCACGUCCCAGCUGGGGGCCUCAAGGAUGUCGGUGACAUGGCUCUGAUAGCGGCUGCUCUCCCUCCCUCUGUGCGAGACCCAGCAUCCUGCAGCUAGGAAGAAGAGGCAGAGGCCCCCAGCCCCCCGCUCCCCGGAGUCAAGCCUCUUCUCUGGAAAGAGACAUUUUCAAAACAGGUUUUAUAAGAAUUCAAAAUGGCAAGGAGGCCCUGUGAGUUUUCCUUCUGCAGUUAAAGGUCUGGUUCCCGAAGGCGGAGGAUCUCGUAUGCUUCAGUGCAGGAAGACCAUCUCUGGUCUGGCCAUCGCUUGCUGUGGGACCUUCAUGACUCAGAAAGGGUAGUCCAGUCAAGUCCAACUCUUGGCCGGGCCUGCUCCCCCUCCCCUUUUCCAUUGACUGCAGCUGUGCGGAAGGGGCCUUCUCCUUGGA